rnacentral:rRNA from 1 species
GACGAACGUUGGCGGCGUGCUUAAUACAUGCAAGUCAACUGAAGCAGUGGUAGCAAUAUCGCUGUGGAGGUGGCGCACGGGUGAGUAACACGUAGGUAAUCUGCCUUCAGGUCUGGCAUAACUCCGGGAAACCGGGGCUAAUAGCAGAUGAUGCAGCGGCUCGACAUCGAGACAGUUGUUAAAGCUAUGGCGCCUGAAGAUGAGCCUGCGUCUGAUUAGCUAGUUGGCGGGGUAACGGCCCACCAAGGCAACGAUCAGUAGCUGGUCUGAGAGGAUGAUCAGCCACACUGGAACUGAGACACGGUCCAGACUCCUACGGGAGGCAGCAGUAAGGAAUAUUGCUCAAUGGGAGAAAUCCUGAAGCAGCAACGCCGCGUGAGGGACGAAGGGCUUUUGCUUGUAAACCUCUGUAGUGAGAGAAAAAAAGCCCAAUCUUUGGGACAUGAUGGUAUCUCAAAAGUAAGCCCCGGCUAACUACGUG